CGGAGGAUCCAAGCGUUAUCCGGAAUUACUGGGCGUAAAGAGUUGCGUAGGUGGCAUAGUAUGUCUGUAGUGAAAGCGUGUGGCUCAACCAUAUACACAUUACAGAAACUGCUAAGCUAGAGGGCGAGAGAGGUAACUAGAAUUCCUAGUGUAGGAGUGGAAUCCGUAGAUAUUAGGAGGAAUACCGAUGGCGUAGGCAGGUUACUGGCUCGUCCCUGACACUAAGGCACGAAAGCGUGGGAGCAAACGGGAUU
rnacentral:rRNA from 1 species